rnacentral:sRNA from 1 species
UCCUUUGCCAGCCUAGACGCACCUGCUUCUUGUGUGUUCCCACUUGACUUGUUCUUCU